rnacentral:rRNA from 1 species
CGUAGGGACCGAGCGUUAUCCGGAUUCAUUGGGCGUAAAGAGCUCGUAGGCGGCUAUCCAAGUCGAACGUGAAAUCUCGGAGCUCAACUCCGAGCCUGCGUUCGAUACUGUAUGGCUAGAGUCUGGUAGGGGGAUCUGGAAUUCCUGGUGUAGCGGUGGAAUGCGCAGAUAUCAGGAGGAACACCGGUGGCGAAGGUGGGAUCCUGGGCCAGUACUGACGCUGAGGAGCGAAAGCGUGGGGAGCAAACAGGAUUAGAUACCCUGGUAGUCCACGCCGUAAACGAUGGGCGCUAGGUGUGGGAGGUCAUCGACUCCUUCCGUGCCGCAGCUAACGCAUUAAGCGCCCCGCCUGGGGAGUACGGCCGCAAGGCUA